UGAAUACGAGACGCUACGGCGUUGAAGCAGUGUAUGUCAUACUUCCAAGAAAAGCUCGCAAGGUCAUAAACAAAUAAUGCCUGUACCAUAACCGACACAGGUGGGUAGGUAGAGUAUACUAAGGGGCGCGAGAUAACUCUCUCUAAGGAACUCGGCAAAAUGACUCCGUAACUUCGGGAGAAGGAGUGCCUUAUUCUAUAAGGUUGCGAUAACAAGAUCCAAGCAACUGUUUAUCAAAAACACAGGUCUCCGCUAAGUCGUAAGACGAUGUAUGGGGGCUGACGCCUGCCCAGUGCCAGAAGGUUAAAGAAGUUGGUUAGCAAUUGCAAAGCUGAUAACUGAAGCCCUGGUGAACGGCGGCCGUAACAAUAACGGUCCUAAGGUAGCGAAAUUCCUUGUCGGGUAAGUUCCGACCCGUACGAAAGGCGUAAUGAUUUGGAUACUGUCUCAGAGAGGGGCUCGGUGAAAUAGACUCUCUGUGAAGAUGCGGACUACCUGCACCUGGACAGAAAGACCCUAUGAAGCUUUACUGUAACUUGAAAUUGAAACUGGACUUUAUUUGCGCAGGAUAGGUGGGAGGCGUUGAAAAUAUUUUUGCGGAAAUAUUGGAGCCAUCGGUGAGAUACCACUCUUGUAAUGUUAGGUUUCUAACUUGGUAUCAUAAUCUGGUCCAAGAACAGUUUCAGGCGGGCAGUUUGACUGGGGCGGUCGCCUCCUAAACGGUAACGGAGGCGUACAAAGGUUUCCUCUGAACGGGUAGAAAUCGUAUCUAGAGUGUAAAGGCAUAAGGAAGCUUGACUGUGAGACCUACAAGUCGAGCAGGGACGAAAGUCGGUCUUAGUGAUCUGACGGUGCUGAGUGGAAGGGCCGUCACUCAACGGAUAAAAGUUACUCUAGGAUAACAGGCUGAUCUCCCCCAAGAGUUCACAUCGACGGGGAGGUUUGGCACCUCGAUGUCGGCUCAUCGCAUCCUGGGGCGGUAGUACGUCCCAAGGGUUGGGCUGUUCGCCCAUGAAAGCGGUACGCGAGCUGGGUUCAGAACGUCGUGAGACAGUUCGGUCCAUAUCCGGUGUAGGCGUUAGAAUAUUGAGAGGAGCCUUCUUUAGUACGAGAGGACCGAGAAGGACACACCUAUGGUGUACCAGUUAUCGUGCCAACGGUAAACGCUGGGUAGCUAUGUGUGGAGCGGAUAACCGCUGAAAGCAUCUAAGUGGGAAGCCCACCUCAAGAUUAGUAUUCUCAU
rnacentral:rRNA from 1 species